ACCCUCUGUAUCCCUUCUUGCUUCAUUAAUUCACACACACUCACACACACUUAUGUACAUAGAGAGAGGUUCAUAAACUGUAAAAGGAUUAAAUCAUACUGCAAAAAAUGGAUGAGCAUCUGGAAAUUCCGAGUAAGUUGUUUUCGUCAUCAGAAAAUCGAGAUUCGAUCAGGUUUACGAUAAAAUCGAGGCACCGAAGUUUGUCGACUUCACUGUGCCCGAUCACUACAGGCCCGAUGAUCGUUAUUGGUUUUGCCUUCGCGUGGGAUGUGAUCAAAAGGAUGAGGAAGAAAUGGAUUCUGAAGUAAUCUACAACAAUUUUGUUCUUCCGGUAAUGACAGCCAAGAGUCCCAAUGUAAGGCUUCGGAAAUCACUUGAUAAAAAUGCUUCAAGAACACCUAUCAAAUGACCACUUUCAGCUCCCCCUAAAUCGUCCAAGCCAAGACUGUCAAGGAUGGCUGUCAUUUCAUCGAUUUCUAAGAAGAUCGUCGAGGACAAGAAAAAGGUCGCCCGGCCCCUUUUGAAGCCUGGAUCUACACCCGCUGACAAAGACGAAAACCAGUUGCUGCAAAGUAUCUUACGACUCCAAGGAACAAAAAGAGCACAUCAGAUCAAAGUUCAUUUCAAAGUGUUCAGCAUCCAAAGUCUAUCAAUGUUGAAGUGCCAAAGAGUCUAAUAGUGGCAAAGGCUUUGGUUUUUCGCUCUCCGAAGAAGGCCAUUAAGGUAAAGACAUCUGUUGAGCUGCGUACACCUGUCUCAAAAUUAUGCCAAGGGAUGAACAGGCUUGAUAUUUCUAGUCAAGAAAGCGUGUCUUGGGCUAUUCUUGCAACUCAUCGAAGAAGUUGAGUGAUAACUCAUCAAGGAGACAGGUGAGCAGUCAGAAGUUGUAACCUAAGCCUGAAAAACCUCCUCAAACUUGCAAAGUUCAAGAUGCUAAGUCUGAAAGAUCGAUUAGAACUAAGAUCAAAGGAUAGCUAUCUCAGCAGAAGGAGACUAAGAGCUGGGAAUCUAGUCUGGACUUCGAGAAUCUAGUCAUGAAGACACAUGUAAGCGUUCAACAGUGCCACCAGUGACACAAUGCUUGGAUUCAGUCUCACUAGAUUGCUCAAAAGGGGAAAUUAGCCUUUUAAUCUUAGAAAGAAGAGAUGAUCACGUCCGAAGUUACCAAAGCUCAGGAGAGUAGUGGUAAUAAUGGAAACAAUUCCUAUGAAGGGGAACGGAGCGGACUUGACUCUGAGGAUGGAGAUGAUAAAGAAAAUGCUGCAACCUCUGAUGAGAACAGGAUAUUAAACAGAAUUCUGAAGCAAAAUGGAAGAAAAAUACUUGAAGUGCACGGGAAAUGUGACAAUGUUAGAAAAAAGGGUACUCAACUACGGGAUACUCUGAAAGAGGGUUCGUCAGUUUGUGUGGUCCAGUGACUUAAGUUGAAGAAACCAAUGGCCACGAAUCCUAAAUCAUUUAGACUAAGAACUGAUGAGAGAGGAAUCCUCAAAGAAACCAUCUUGGAUAAAAGAGUCGUCCAUCCCCCAGCCUAGCCACUGUGAAAAUGCAAAUGUGAGUAGUACCCCAGGUGGGAAGUUACUGCAGAAAAGUAUUCAAGUAGGCAUUUUUGUUUCAUGUGAGACUUCUGUGCAUUUGGUGUAGUAGUGAAGAAUGUAGGGGAAGAAGCUGACAAAGUUGAACUUUUGCUGAAUGGGAGCAUGGCAGUAGCUUUUAAGGCUCCAAAACGACAGGAGAGUUCAAAGUCAGCAGCUUCGAUGAAACCAGAGAGUAAUAAAUCUAAGAGCAUCCGCACCGGGAUGAUCUUCCGGACAGCGGAGCCGUGCCAUCGGCACGGCGACGGAUGGACACGUGGCGUU